GAUGAACGCUGGCGGCGUGCCUAAUACAUGCAAGUCGAGCGAACGGACGAGAAGCUUGCUUCUCUGAUGUUAGCGGCGGACGGGUGAGUAACACGUGGAUAACCUACCUAUAAGACUGGGAUAACUUCGGGAAACCGGAGCUAAUACCGGAUAAUAUUUUGAACCGCAUGGUUCAAAAGUGAAAAACGGUCUUGCUGUCACUUAUAGAUGGAUCCGCGCUGCAUUAGCUAGUUGGUAAGGUAACGGCUUACCAAGGCAACGAUGCAUAGCCGACCUGAGAGGGUGAUCGGCCACACUGGAACUGAGACACGGUCCAGACUCCUACGGGAGGCAGCAGUGGGGAAUCUUCCGCAAUGGGCGAAAGCCUGACGGAGCAACGCCGCGUGAGUGAUGAAGGUCUUCGGAUCGUAAAACUCUGUUAUUAGGGAAGAACAUAUGUGUAAGUAACUGUGCACAUCUUGACGGUACCUAAUCAGAAAGCCACGGCUAACUACGUG
rnacentral:rRNA from 1 species